rnacentral:misc_RNA from 1 species
UUGAUUUAUUUGCUUGUGCCACUCAGAUAAUACAUAUAAUACACAAUGGUUUUUGGCCUCCGGCGGGCGCACUGAUCCGGGCACGAGGGCGCCGGGGCGUGACCGCCGAAGCAACGACUGGUAAAGUUCACAGGGGUUUGGGAGUUGAAAACUCGGUAAUGAUCCCUCCGCUGGUUCACCAACGGAGA